CAUUUCGGAAGCGGCUUUGAGCAAUGAUAGUCACACUCCUUGUGGUCCUCAGUCUGGCACACGAAAGGUCCUUCAUCACGCCCCAGAGUGCGGGAAGUAU